UUUAACCUAUAGUUCCACGAUUAUAAUUUGAAGAAUUUCAAUUCAAUUACAACAUAGAUUCAUCUUGGCAUCUCAGUAAGAGAUUAUUCACUCAACAGAUUUGUCCAUAGUUUCAUUUGUUCAAGAAGUAUACUUCAAAUGAGUUACCAUCUAUAGGUAGAUUUCAUUAAUUUGUCUCAGACCGAUGUUUGCAUGAAAAUUCAUCUAAAGAAAAGAAUGCAGAAUUUACUUAUUUGUACGUUUGCAGAACAUGGAGUGUGAUAUUUCAUCGAGGAAUUUCAGAAGAACGAUUUAAGAAUAAAUAUCUAUAGUCUUAUAAAGUACCCAAGAUGAAAGUAUAGAACUUCAAUAAUUGAGCUCUGUCACAACAUUGUGGGGAAAACUUAAUGUCUCUCAAUGAACAUCCGGUAUUACAAUAUUGAUACUGCAUACCUACAGAUGAUUUUCAUCGACAACUAUAGUGAUGGUGUUGGUGAUUCCGAAUUGCAUGAUUGUAUUAAAAAAAUUCGCAGACUAUUUGGACUCUUACAUAUUUUAAUUGCAAAAAAAGUUCGAAUAUGUAUGUUAAUAGUUCGUGAAUUGAAUUUAAAGAAGUACUCUUUCUUUAAAUUUUGAUUCACAAACUAGUAAAUUACUUAUUUGAACUGUUAUGUGAUUCUCGAAGUUUUAAAGCUGGUGAAAUUUUUGAAAUCUUUGCUGAGUGCCAAAUAUAUUCUAUGUUCUACUUUGUAGUUUAUACGUAUGAGAGAGUAUAGGUAUAUUAUUUUCAUUCAUAGAAAUUUAUCCAAUUUAUGUAAAUUCAUUUUUCUUAUUUUCAUCAAUAUAUACCUAUGUAUAAGUAUCUCGACUAAUUUAUGAGUAGGUAAUUACCUUUUUUCGCGAAAUUCUUCUAGUAUCUAUAAUAGGUAUAUAUUAAUGAUACGCGUACAAUCAAUCAGCAAAAAUUGGAAUUUACUGUAAGUAUGUAGUUCCUCAAUUUUUGUAACCUAUUAUACAUAGGCUACGUUUGUCUGAUUAUUAUAACCAAAUAAGAUAAGGCCAGUUUAUUAUUUUUUUUCGAUACAUUUUUAAAAAUUCAAAAAAUUUUCAAAAAGUUGCUAGUAAAAAAUGGCGAAUUUUCAACUUUGAAGACUCCGUGAGAAAUAAUGAAAAUUUAAGGUCAUUCGUGCAAUGAAACCCCAUUUUAUAAAAUGAAAAGAUUCGCAUAUCAUCUCUUCAAUUGAGGUUGCACCAAACUUUUGCUUUGUUUAAUCCCAGCAGAAAAUGAUUAGAUCUGAUCAGGUUAAAUUAGAUCCGGACAUUUCAUGAAUUCAAAUUGAUCUGAUCAGGUUUGGCCAGAUAUAAUCAGAUCUGGUUGAUGAGAUCAAAGUUUUGAUUACAUUCGAUCUGUUCAGACGUGAUCAGGAUCAGGUCCAAUAAAAGAAAUCAGAUUAGAUCCGAUCAGAUCUAAUUAAUUGAGCCAGCUGAUGUUUAAUCGGAUUAGAUUUAGCAAAAUUUUUCAAAAAUAUUUCAAAAAUUUGUUUGCACGUCAUAAAAACGGUUGAAAAUGAAUAAAACUUGAUGAAACAUUGCAAAUGAAGAGUGAUAUUCCAAAACUCGCUUUGUCCAUUUUUAUCAAAGUUGGGUUUUCAGUGGUACCUGGUAGAUGAAGUAUUAACUCACAUUCCUACAUCAUCAACCUACCAAAAUGAGGUGUUAAACUCACCUAAAUAGCCAAUUCACUAAAUUUAAAAAAAAAAAUAAUCUUCCAAAACGCGCUUUAUCCAUUUUUAUUGAAAUUUUUUUCAGCAGUAUUUAGUGGAUGAAAUGUAUACCUACACUCCUACAUCAUAAAUCCGCCCAAAUAAAGUGCUAAACUUGCCUAAAAAGCCAAUUUACCCGUUUAAAGGGAAACUGUUUUUCCUCUCUCCUGAAAAGUUGUGAAAAUGGACAAAGCGAGUUUUGGAAUAUCACUCUUCAAAUAUAAAAAAAAUUGCAAAAGUGACUCAAAUUGCAAAAAAUUGUGAAACGUUUCGAAAAAAUUUGAUUUUAAUGCUGAUUUUACAGUUUUUAUUUCACUUAUGAGAUUUCUUGCAAGAAUUCAUUCAAUACUUACUCAAUGUUAAUGUAUUUGUAAUAUUUUUUCCGUUUAUUUUUUAAAUUUAAAAAUUGUUUUUUUUUUUAGCAUUUCAGACACUAAUGUUUUAUCAACUGUUAUUUUUACUUUUGACUGUGUUUUCGUGGUAUUGUAACGAAGUUUUAAAUAAUUUUCGCAGAAUUUUGCCUUUUUUUUUUUUUUUGGUCAAUUUUAUGGUACCUAAAUUUCAGUGAUGUUACGGUCAAUCUUACAAUUAUUUCAAUGCUUUAUGUAAUCGCAGCUCAGUUAAAUUUUAUUUUGGCAAAUGCGAUUCAUCAUAAUAAAAAAAUUUCCAAAAAAGGAAAUCAUCGAAAUUUGUCUCAUUGCUGUGAAUUGGCUUGCCUAUUAAUGAAAUAUUCUAGCCAUUGACUACAGCUUCUUGUGAUCGCAUAAAUCAUAAAAUAAUUUUCCUCCCCCCCUCUUUUACCUCUUCAUCUUUGAAAAUUUUCGAAACCAUUUACCCACAUUUGCAUAAAUAUCUACCUAACUAAUGAAAACAACAACGUAGCAAGACGAAGACCACGACACUGGCCAAGUAUUUUGUCCAUUCCAAGUAAAAAUAAUUUAAAAGUUUGACAUCUCCAACAAUUCCUAUUCAAAUACACAUUUUAUCAAUAGAAAAACAUC